CAACUACUCCCUCUGUCCUAAAUUUCUUGUCUUAGGUUUGUCUAGAUACGGAUGUAUCUAAUACUAAAAUGUGACUUGAUACAUCCGUAUCUAGACAAAUCUAAGACAAGAAUUUUGGGACGGAAGGAGUACUUU
rnacentral:pre_miRNA from 1 species